ensembl:misc_RNA Metazoa_SRP Metazoan signal recognition particle RNA
GCCGGGCGUGAUGGCUCAACGCCUGUAAUCCCAGCACUUUGGGAGGCCGAGGCUGGCGGAUCACGAGGUCAGGAGAUCGAGACCAUCCUGGCUAACACGGUGAAAUCCCGUGUCUACUAAAAUCAUAAAAAAAUUAGCCAGGCAUGGUGGCAGCUGGGACUACAGGCGCCCGCCACCAUGCCCGGCUAAUUUUUUUGUAUUUUUAGUAGAGACGGGGUUGCACCGUGUUAGCCAGGAUGGUUUCGAUCUCUCCUGACCUCGUGAUCUGCCCGCCUCGG